GGAUUUCUUCUUUUCUCAUUCCAGGCAGUGUAGUAAGGAGAGAGCUUUCCUUUCCUCUUCUCCUUCGCUUUGUUCUGGUUGGGGUUUUUGCAGAAAACUCUCUUCUUCCCAAUUUCUUCUUGGGUCUGAUUUUCGCUUCGGGGAAAAGCAAAAAUUCUUCUUUUCUUUUCAGUCUUUGGUUGCGAUUUUUCGUAGGGAGGUGA
rnacentral:lncRNA from 1 species